GGAGAGGUGGCAGAGCGGUUGAAUGCACCGGACUUGAAAUCCGGCAUAGGGCUUCGCCCUAUCGGGGGUUCGAAUCCCCCCCUCUCCGCCA
rnacentral:tRNA from 1 species